GGUUUCACAGCUGUAGGUAGGGGAAACAUCUGAAUUUUGGCCUACAGAGUUUGCACAGGUGAGCAUCCCACUGUGGUGACUGGUGACUCUGUAAGCAGGUCUCUGCAGAAAGGGCUGGUUUUGGCUGUGCUGAUGGCAUGACCAACUGCACCCUGAGCCUAUGCCUAGCUUAAAUGUCUGUCCAUGUUCACCUUGGUCCCACAUUUGUGUUCCCUAGGACGUGCAUGACAGGCUGCAGAGCUGCAGGCUCAAGCAGGGCCAACCAUCAGCCCCAUCCUGCAGUUCCACCAAGCGUGGCACUCGCUGAGCACUGUGGAGUUAUUUCAGCUGGACUGAGAAGUACGUGCCUUGACAAACAGGCUGUUUUGGAGACUGAGCAGGCUGUUUUCAUUGGAAAUUCCAGAGCCUAUCUGCUGCACACAUUGCGGGCCUCUGUGCACUGA
rnacentral:lncRNA from 1 species